AUAAAUGCUCCCUGCUACCUCGAACAGCUCGAUCUUGUCCGAUCUCAGAAGCUCAGCAGGGCCAGGCCUGGUUAGAACUUGGAUGGGAGACCACCUAGGAAGACCAGGUGCUGUAGGCU
rnacentral:rRNA from 1 species